AACGAACGCUGGCGGCAGGCCUAACACAUGCAAGUCGAGCGGACCCUUCGGGGUUAGCGGCGGACGGGUGAGUAACGCGUGGGAACGUGCCCUUUGCUUCGGAAUAGCCCUGGGAAACUGGGAGUAAUACCGGAUACGCCCUUUUGGGGAAAGAUUUAUCGGCGAAGGAUCGGCCCGCGUUGGAUUAGGUAGUUGGUGGGGUAAUGGCCUACCAAGCCGACGAUCCAUAGCUGGUUUGAGAGGAUGAUCAGCCACACUGGGACUGAGACACGGCCCAGACUCCUACGGGAGGCAGCAGUGGGGAAUCUUACAAAAUGGGGGAAACCCUGAUCGAGCCAUGCCGCGUGAGCGAUGAAGGCCUUAGGGUUGUAAAGCUCUUUCACCGGGGAAGAUAAUGACGGUACCCGGAGAAGAAGCCCCGGCUAACUCCGUG
rnacentral:rRNA from 1 species